rnacentral:rRNA from 1 species
GAUGAACGCUGGCGGCGUGCCUAAUACAUGCAAGUCGAGCGAACGGACGAGAAGCUUGCUUCUCUGAUGUUAGCGGCGGACGGGUGAGUAACACGUGGAUAACCUACCUAUAAGACUGGGAUAACUUCGGGAAACCGGAGCUAAUACCGGAUAAUAUUUUGAACCGCAUGGUUCAAAAGUGAAAGACGGUCUUGCUGUCACUUAUAGAUGGAUCCGCGCUGCAUUAGCUAGUUGGUAAGGUAACGGCUUACCAAGGCAACGAUGCAUAGCCGACCUGAGAGGGUGAUCGGCCACACUGGAACUGAGACACGGUCCAGACUCCUACGGGAGGCAGCAGUAGGGAAUCUUCCGCAAUGGGCGAAAGCCUGACGGAGCAACGCCGCGUGAGUGAUGAAGGUCUUCGGAUCGUAAAACUCUGUUAUUAGGGAAGAACAUAUGUGUAAGUAACUGUGCACAUCUUGACGGUACCUAAUCAGAAAGCCACGGCUAACUACGUGCCAGCAGCCGCGGUAAUACGUAGGUGGCAAGCGUUAUCCGGAAUUAUUGGGCGUAAAGCGUGCGUAGGCGGUUUUUUAAGUCUGAUGUGAAAGCCCACGGCUCAACCGUGGAGGGUCAUUGGAAACUGGAAAACUUGAGUGCAGAAGAGGAAAGUGGAAUUCCAUGUGUAGCGGUGAAAUGCGCAGAGAUAUGGAGGAACACCAGUGGCGAAGGCGACUUUCUGGUCUGUAACUGACGCUGAUGUGCGAAAGCGUGGGGAUCAAACAGGAUUAGAUACCCUGGUAGUCCACGCCGUAAACGAUGAGUGCUAAGUGUUAGGGGGUUUCCGCCCCUUAGUGCUGCAGCUAACGCAUUAAGCACUCCGCCUGGGGAGUACGACCGCAAGGUUGAAACUCAAAGGAAUUGACGGGGACCCGCACAAGCGGUGGAGCAUGUGGUUUAAUUCGAAGCAACGCGAAGAACCUUACCAAAUCUUGACAUCCUUUGACAACUCUAGAGAUAGAGCUUUCCCCUUCGGGGGACAAAGUGACAGGUGGUGCAUGGUUGUCGUCAGCUCGUGUCGUGAGAUGUUGGGUUAAGUCCCGCAACGAGCGCAACCCUUAAGCUUAGUUGCCAUCAUUAAGUUGGGCACUCUAAGUUGACUGCCGGUGACAAACCGGAGGAAGGUGGGGAUGACGUCAAAUCAUCAUGCCCCUUAUGAUUUGGGCUACACACGUGCUACAAUGGACAAUACAAAGGGCAGCGAAACCGUGAGGUCAAGCAAAUCCCAUAAAGUUGUUCUCAGUUCGGAUUGUAGUCUGCAACUCGACUACAUGAAGCUGGAAUCGCUAGUAAUCGUAGAUCAGCAUGCUACGGUGAAUACGUUCCCGGGUCU